rnacentral:rRNA from 1 species
GACGUAGGGUCCGAGCGUUGUCCGGAAUUACUGGGCGUAAAGAGCUCGUAGGCGGUUUGUCGCGUUGUUCGUGAAAACUCACAGCUUAACUGUGGGCGUGCGGGCGAUACGGGCAGACUGGAGUACUGCAGGGGAGACUGGAAUUCCUGGUGUAGCGGUGGAAUGCGCAGAUAUCAGGAGGAACACCGGUGGCGAAGGCGGGUCUCUGGGCAGUAACUGACGCUGAGGAGCGAAAGCGUGGGGAGCGAACAGG